UGUUUUUGAAGUGUCCUCAGCACCUUGGAUUUUCAUACCAAAAGAGCAUUUAUAUGCCAAAAAUAA
rnacentral:tRNA from 1 species